UAGAGUUUGAUCCUGGCUCAGAACGAACGCUGGCGGCGCGGCUAAGACAUGCAAGUCAAACGGUCCAGUAAUUUAUUAUUGGAUAGUGGCGAAAGGGUUAGUAAUGGAUAGGUAACGUGCCCUCCGCUUCGGAAUAGCGUCGGUUGCUUCGGCAACCUUCCGAAAGGGGCAAUAAUACCGAAUAAUAUUACUUGUCGAUAGGCAAGUAAUCAAAGAUUUAUCGGCAGAGGAGCGGCCUAUCUCUUAUCAGCUUGUUGGUGAGGUAAUGGCUCACCAAGGCUAUGACGGGUAGCGGGACUGAGAGGUUGACCCGCAACAUCGGGACUGAGACACUGCCCGGACCUCCACGGAGGGCUGCAGUAACGAAUAUUGCGCAAUGGGCGAAAGCCUGACGCAGCGACGCCGCGUGCGGGAGGAAGUCCCUCGGGAUGUAAACCGCUGUCAGGGAUUAGAAAGUCCGCUUCGGCGGAUUGAUCAGUCCCAAAGGAAGUCACGGCUAACUUCGUGCCAGCAGCCGCGGUAAGACGAAGGUGGCAAGCGUUGUUCGGUAUUACUGGGCUUAAAGAGUGUGUAGGCGGAAAGGUAAGCGUCCUGUGAAAGCCCCCGGCUUAACCGGGGAAUUGCGAGACGAACUGUCUUUCUUGAGCCAAGUAGGGGUGCACGGAACUGUUGGUGGAGCGGUGGAAUGCGUAGAUAUCAACAGGAACGCCGGUGGAGAAAUCGGUGCACUGGGCUUGUGCUGACGCUGAGACACGAAAGCGUGGGGAGCGAACGGGAUUAGAUACCCCGGUAGUCCACGCCGUAAACGAUGUCUACUAGGUUGUGGAAGUUCUGACGCUGCCACGGCCGAAGCAAAAGUGCUAAGUAGACCGCCUGGGGAGUACGGCCGCAAGGCUAAAACUCAAAGGAAUUGACGGGGGCUCACACAAGCGGUGGAGCAUGUGGAUUAAUUCGAAGCAACGCGUAGAACCUUACCUGGGUUUGACAUGCUUGGAUGCCAACCUGGAAACAGGGGAAGCUGCCCUUCGGGGUGAAACUUGCACAGGUGCUGCAUGGCUGUCGUCAGCUCGUGUCGUGAGAUGUCGGGUUAAGUCCUUUAACGAGCGAAACCCUUGCCGUUAGUUGCCAGCGGGUCAUGCCGGGAACUCUAACGGGACUGCCGGUGUAAAACCGGAGGAAGGUGGGGACGACGUCAAGUCAUCAUGGCCUUUAUGCCCAGGGCUUCACACGUGCUACAAUGGCGGCAACAAAGCGUCGCAAAACCGUGAGGUCGAGCUAAUCGCAAAAAUGUCGCCUCAGUUCGGAUUGUAGGCUGACAACUCGCCUGCAUGAAGUUGGAAUCGCUAGUAAUCGCGUAUCAGCUAUGACGCGGUGAAUAUGUUCCUGAGCCUUGUACACACCGCCCGUCAAGUGAUGGAAGUCGGGAGUACCCGAAGUCGGGUUACUAACCCAGCUUGCUGGGAUGUGCCUGCCGACGGUAAGCCUGAUGACUGGCACUAAGUCGUAACAAGGUAACCA
rnacentral:rRNA from 1 species